GGAAAUUGCCUUCCAAAUCCUCAUUAAGUUAGAAGGCUUUUACUGACAUUUAGAAAGCAGGUUUAUGGUCAGAACAAAUAAAAACAGUGCAGAUGUCUUCAUAAGGCUGAUUCCAGAAGAUCAGCUGUUUUGUAAAGGUAAGUGAUUUGCAUUUAUUACAUAUGGAUUACCCAUUCUUUGCCAAAUUUUUUCCCCAAAGAGAUGAAUUUUUACCAAAGAUUAUAGUUGUUGUUGUUGUGGUUUUUCCUUUUUUUUUUUUCCGAAGGAAAGCAAUUGUCUUCAUGCAUAAAAGUCAGUGCUUGUUUUAUACAUUGCAAGAAACAAAAAGCAUAUUUUUUGUUUGUUGCUUCCCCAAAAGACAUUCCUUUUAGAAUGCCUUGGAACUAUGUUCUAUCAUAUCACUCUUUAAAAAAAACAAAGAAGAAUAUAUUCUUAUUUGGAAGAGACUUAAUAUAAUCAACUCAUGGUUACUUUUACUGAUGCUUGAGUCUUUUAAAUGUAGUAAUUGAUCAAAUUGUAUUAAGCCAUAAGGGACUUUCUGGAAUUCAGUUAAGGCAACUAGGUGAGUGUUACUACUGCAGAUGAGGUUUCAGGAUUCAUUUGGUCAGACUGAAGAUGUUCUAUGUAGUAUAAAUUGAUUAUAUCUCAUUCUUGAACUACAAGACUUUAAAAUGCCUUUACACUUAAAUAAUUCUGAUAGGGUGAUUUUCCUUUGUAGACACUGUAAUUAUGUUAACAUUUGCUGUAUUUUGGUGGAAUUUAUUUACAUUAAAAUGAUUUACAAACAGGCAUUCCCACAUUCUUUGGAGGAAAGUGUCUAAUCUCAAAAUGGUACUUUUUAUUUCUGCUCUGAUGUACAAAGCCUAUAAGGGCAUUUUAUCAUGCUUAUAAGAAAACUAGUCAAAAUUUACUAACUGAUAUUAGUCUGCAUUAAUACAAACUAUUGAACCAAAAAACAUGACCUUUGUAAUCUGGUAAAGAUACUGAUAAUUUAAGAUUUUCUUUUUCUAUCUCUAACCUUUUUAAAAGUGAAUUUCAUUACAUUGUUAUUAUUUGGAUGCAUACCUUCAUGGUAUGAGUCUGGAGAGUUUUCACCUGGCUGUAGGACAGACACCAUGACCCAAAGGAAUUCUUACUCUUCCCAACUCUUAAAGACUUGAAACUUCAAGCAGACCUGACAUAAAGAUGUCUUUGGUAUAGCUCUUUGGCUAUUUCUAAAGAGUGGAUGCACUUUGGCCACCUUUGAUAAGUUCCAAGAUGAUGACAGAAAGAAAAAGAUUGGGAAAGACAGAAUGUGCCUGUCCUUUUUGACUUGAGGGAGAGAGAGAAUGUGCCACCCUCCUUGAUCUUAAGCGUGGGGUGAGAAUGGCAACACUUUGUGUUUUUUAUAAGUAGUGCCAAUUUUUAAAGGAUCACCUGGUGAGACUUGGGAUUCCUUUGACUCGAGCUUUUCCUUCACUUUGCCUCAUAUUUUCUUGGUAGCUCACUUUCUUUUUCAUUGCUAAAGUGGGGGCUAGAUGUUUCUUCAUACUCUCCCAAAACAGGAGUUCUACAUAGAAAGUAAGAGAAAGGGAGAAGAUUUUAAUCUUCAUUUAACAAAUGUGUAUUGAGCCACCUACAAUAACCAGGGCUCUAGAGAGUGUACAAAAUCAAUUCAAACAAAAUCCAACACUCAGGAGCUUAUGUUUUGGUGUAUAUAGCCAACAUAUAUGACAAAAGUGAUGAAAACCUUAAGAAUCUAUGAUACUUUGCUCCUAGGUCAAUAGCUUGCUUCCUUACUUUGUGGUCCAGGCCAUGUACUAAUUUUCCUGGCUUUUCUAAUGUUUGUGUUUAUUCUUCUUUCAAAGGGCAACAAUUUUUAUGAUCCCAAAGCAAUUUCACCAAAUUUUAAAUACAGUUAUGACUCUCAUUCAGUUCAUUUAUGACACAGAUGACUAUUAUACAGAGAUGGUACUCAUUUAGUACCCUGGCCCUAAUACAGGGCUGUCCCUGUAAUAGAAUAAUGCUUUGCUUCUUUUGGAAUCUGAGGGAAGUAUAGUAUUUUCCCUUUUGCCAGAGAGAUCUUUUGUCUCUAUGGAGUCAAAAGUGGGAGGGGUGGGAAGAGAGGUUGGGAACCAGGAAACUAGCCACAGUAUUGAGUUUCAGCCAGGUGCAUCAGAUUGAGAAUGUAAUGUCCCUAGUUUAUUGAACAAGAGCAGAAAAAUCUCUUGGAGUUCAAAGCAACCAUGGUGUUGAUUUUCUCCUUUCUUGAAAACAAGUUUUGAACUUAGACUGUAGAGGUUGGAGAUUUAGGGGGAGAAGAUAACCAUUUAGGAUAAUCCAUAAAGUUUAGGACUUGACUUAGUUGACCUAGUUAAUUUUAGAACUAGGUUGACCUAGUUAAUUUUAGAAAAUUUAACACUGCUACAGUACAAUUUAAUCUUGAACAUUUGAUUUCAAUUUUUUUUAGAGCUGCAUUUUUGCAAGAGGUAACAGAGUUAUCUAAACAAAGUGAGUUCUUGAGAGUUUUGAAGAAAUAAAGUAUCCAACCAUUAAGAUUUAUGUCUUCCAGUCUUAACUGAGGUUUUCUAUAUAGUAGGAAGUGCCACAUUUGCUAUUUGAUUUUAAAAGUGUAGAUAGAUGAUAGCCAUACAAAGUGUAAACAGCCAUAAUUAAAAUGCUUUCAUUGUGACCGGGCAUGGUGGCUCACACCUGUAAUCCCAGCACUUUGGGAGGCUGAGGCUGGCAGAUCACUUGACGUCAAGAGUUCGAGACCAGCCCGGCCAACAUGGUGAAACCCUGUCUCUACUAAAAAUACAAAAAUUAGCCAGGCAUGGUGGCGAGCACCUGUCAUCCCAGCUACUCAAAAGGCUGAGGCAGGAGAAUCACUUCAACCCGGGAAGCGGGGUUUGCAGUAAACCCAGGAUCACACCGCUGUACUCCAGCCUGGGUGACAGAGCAAGACUCUGUCUCAAUUAAAAAAAAAAUUUUUUUUUUUUUCAUUGUAAGAACUCAUGGCUUAUUAAACCACUGGGGGCUUUUGGAAUCUUGUUUCUAUAAUCAUUUGUUUCUAUUACUAGACUACAUCAUUUAUUUUACUGUUGCUUUCUUUUCAAUCCAUAUUGGACAAAAUUUGAGACCAAAAUUUAAAGGGAGGGGUGCGAAAAAGAAGAGACUCUUAAAUGAUUUUUAAAAUUCAGUACAAGUGUAUUUCAUUUUAAAUGAUAGAUAUUGUGUUUGCAAAAAUGCAUGACAUCAAUCCACUCUGUCCCCCAUACUUCAGGUAAAUAAACACAUUUUCAGUGUACUUUAUGAAUAUAUUAUUCACUUUUCUGAAAAGUACAUUUAAACUUCAAAAUUUUGUAUGCACAAUUGUAGAAUCUGUUUGAAUGUACUUGACCUGUUUUUUCUUCUGCAUGUGAAUGCCUUCUUAAUUGCCUUCUGCUUUUACUAGCUGCCUGUAUCCUAACAAUUUGGAGUUGGGAACUCUUCUGAAUAGAAAUUUUGUCUUCCAUUCUCUAUACUCUGCAGAUUUUUAUAUCUAGUUGCAACAUUUCUAUUAUGCUUCAUACUUCCUCACAACAAUUAUGAAUGUUCUACAGAUUUAGAGGUAGAAUUCAAAAACAUAUACAAGGAAAAAGGCAGGGUGCACUCCUUUUAUUAAAAGGCCAGAACACAUCCUGGUUCACUGUUGCAAGACCACUGGGAUGCAUUAGGUGAAUCUAACUUAGCUUGUGACACAAGUUAAUAAAGUUGAAUCCGGUUUUUUUGUUUUUUUUAAGGUUGAUGGCUGAAGUGAGAUUAAUUUCUAAAUAGUCUCAACUCUUGAGACUUGCUAUAUUGCUUAUAAUGAAGAGGAAAAGGACACUUUCAUUACUUUACAUAUUUAUGUAAUUGGAGGGAAUGGAAAGUUUUUGGGAAUAUGAAUCAAAUAUUAGACUGUUUUCUUACUUUAGUUUGUAUAUGUUUUAAUUGUUUUCUCUCUCUACCCAUUAAAGAUUCCAGUGCUGAAUAUUCAAAUGAAAAUUUUUCCUGCACUUUGUACUGUAGCAGGGACCAUAUUUUCCUGUACAAAUUACUUCCGUGUAAUCUUCACAGGUGGUGUUGGCAAAAAUGGAUCAACAAUAGCAGGAACAAGUGUCCUUUCUCCUUUUCUCCAUAUUGGAUCAGUGAUUACAUUAGCUGCAAUGAUCUACAAGAAAUCUGCAGUUCAGCUUUUUGAAAAGCAUCCCUGUCUUUAUAUACUGACAUUUGGUUUUGUGUCUGCUAAAAUCACUAAUAAGCUUGUGGUUGCACACAUGACGAAAAGUGAAAUGCAUUUGCAUGACACAGCAUUCAUAGGUCCGGCACUUUUGUUUCUGGACCAGUAUUUUAACAGCUUUAUUGAUGAAUAUAUUGUACUUUGGAUUGCCCUGGUUUUCUCUUUCUUUGAUUUGAUCCGCUACUGUGUCAGUGUUUGCAAUCAGAUUGCGUCUCACCUGCACAUACAUGUCUUCAGAAUCAAGGUCUCUACAGCUCAUUCUAAUCAUCAUUAAUGAUGUAAUUGGUAUAUAGGAACAUCAUGUUUUCUGCAGGAAAGAAUCUGAACAUAUUAAGGAGAAUGGGGGUGGAUAAGAACAAAUAUAAUUUAUAAUAAUCAAUGUUGUAUAACUUUUAUUCUUUAUUAUUGGUAACACUCCCUAACUAUCCUGUGUGAGAAUGGGAAUUUCAAGUCCCAUCUUGUAAAUUGUAUAUGUUGUCAUGCAGGGUUUGGGCCAAGAAAGCAUGCAGAAAAAAAUGCCAUGUGAUUGUAAUUAUCCUGGAUUCAGAAUAAUACUGUGAUGGGGAGCCAGAUCCACAGUGGUGGAGAGUUCUAAUGUUGACUGUUUGCAGGCCAAAAGAUGAUUGCUUUAUAAUUUUAACAAAUCAUUGUCUUUUAGUAACAUCCUUGUUUAGUGUCUUCUCAAGCUUUCUUUACUGAGGAAUUCAGCUUGUGACACAGAUACAUCCCACUAGCUUGUGAGGUGGAACUAGUAAUAAAGACCUUGAAUUUGGAUUGAAAGUUUUCCUAUCUUUACAUUGUUGAGGAAGUCCUUUUUUUUUUUUUUUUUUUUUUUUUUUUUUAUAAUUGCUCAAGAAAUGAUUCUCUCACAGGCUUGAGAAAUCCUGUUAGCAUGCAGAAUAAUGUGGUAACUUUGUCAAUUUCCCAUUUUAUUUUUUUAAAUAAAUAUAUGAUCUGAAAGCCAACUUUUUCUCAGUUUUACUCAGUGGAAAGAUAAACUAAGUUUUAAUGUUAUUUUUUUAAAUUUAAGCAAAAUUUAUUUCUGUUCUUUAAUAAAUAAGAAAAUGUGGUCCAC
rnacentral:sRNA from 1 species